AGUGAACGCUGGCGGUAGGCCUAACACAUGCAAGUCGAACGGCAGCACAGUAAGAGCUUGCUCUUACGGGUGGCGAGUGGCGGACGGGUGAGGAAUACAUCGGAAUCUACUUUUUCGUGGGGGAUAACGUAGGGAAACUUACGCUAAUACCGCAUACGACCUACGGGUGAAAGCAGGGGAUCUUCGGACCUUGCGCGAUUGAAUGGGCCGAUGUCGGAUUAGCUAGUUGGCGGGGUAAAGGCCCACCAAGGCGACGAUCCGUAGCUGGUCUGAGAGGAUGAUCAGCCACACUGGAACUGAGACACGGCCCAGACUCCUACGGGAGGACGCAGUGGGGAAUAUUGGACAAUGGGCGAAAGCCUGAUCCAGCCAUACCGCGUGGGUGAAGAAGGCGUUCGGGUUGUAAAGCCAUUAUGUUGGGAAAGAAAAGCAGCAGGUUAAUACCCCGCUGUUCUGACGGUACCCAAAGAAUAAGCACCGGCUAACUUCGUG
rnacentral:rRNA from 1 species